AAUUUGUAUUCAAAUGUUCAACUCACAUUUCCUCUGCUAUUUCACAACGCAAUUUAUAAUAACAUCUGUAAGUUUAAACACACGACAUACAGUAGAUGUAUUAUUUUGUAUGUAUAUAUGUAUUCCAUAUGUGCAUAAAAUAUAACUCCCACCUGUGCCAGUGAUUGUAAACGAACGGAUGUCAUGUAAAUGUAUACCACAUUUGUAAACAUGGGCUCUCACAACUCUUUUAUUAAGAAAAUAAUAAUAUCGUUAUGAAAAUAACUGUUACGAAAAUAACAUACCUUGAACUACAUGUAUAAAAGUAAUGAAAAACAAAUAUCUGUAUAGACCUACUAUCUAGGGGUAUGAGGGAACCGGAUAAAAAGUGGAAGGGGGGGGGGCAUGUGUUGAAUUAUAAUUCCUUAGACUAUAGUAUACAUAUAUUAUUACUUUGAAAUUUCAGUGACCUAAGAAAUAUAUCAAAUCUGAAGUUUUGUGUUUCACACAAACAUGUAGGUUGGCAAAACCUUUUUAAAUAAUGUAAAUUAAUCACAAGUCUGCAUAUGCCCUCUCAUAGGCAAAUGUAUGCAUUGUAUGUAUAAGUAAGAUAUGUAUACUACACGUAUGCCCUUCUCUUGACCCACAUUUUGUAAAUAAAACAGAUAUGAUAAGUCUAUGGCAGUUUAUGAAAACAUAUAUACAUGUCAUCUCAUUGCAAUUUAUAAUUUUGAAACAUCAGUAUUUAAAUUUUAACUGAAUAUGUGUUGAGACACAGUUUUAAAAUUCACAUUGUAUGACGCAAUCUAAUUACUCAAUGGUAUAAUAUAGACCUAACGGUGCAAAUAUCAAUUAUGAUGAUCUUUUUUCUAGGCAUCAGCCUGAAGACCGAGGGAGGUUAGAUAGGACCAGUGCAGGUUGAAGUGGAUUUCGAGUCAACAAGUAUAACAGCAAGAGAGGUACUCCAUUUACAGUGAUGAUGACAUAUCCCCUGGACCCCCACAACUCCACAAAUUUAAAAAUGUUUGAUCAAGUUCCGAAGAUUAAAGAACUACUGCAAAAUUUGGGACUGGAUGAAAAACAUUAAUUCACUUAUAUGAGCUCAGAGCAGUGGAUGUUAUACAACAUACUUUAAACUAAAUUGUGAAUUUAAGGGAAAACAAGUACAUGUCAUGUACUCGUAUAUUACAAGUACAUGCCUUUUGAAAGACAAUAAUAUUGCAUAGAUGUAAAGGAAAUUUCAAUGUUGAUUAUUUUUUCUUAGAUAUAUUAGUAAAAAAUGUGCACAUGAUAGAAUAUCAAUUUUAUUACUUCAAUCAAUGUGUUUGAAUUUUCCUUGUAAUUCAAAAUUUAGUUGAAACAUACAUCAUAGAUACAUUAAUGUAUAUAAUUUUUUUUAGAAAAGUUUCAUAAUGGAACUAAUUCACACACACACACCCCCCCCCGUAUACAUACAGUGAACAUAGACCUUCACCUGGGGAAAACUUCCGUUAGUUAAUGCAAUAUACAUGUACAUGCAUUUUCAGUUAUCCAAUAGUUCCAUGUGAAACUACAAUUAGAAAUCUUAAACUUAUGAAAGACACACCUAUCUGUGAGGGUAAGAUGACUCAGGUGGACUUAAUUGUAGUGAUCCAUGGGCAGUCCAUGGGUCUCUUUCCAUUGAUAUUAAUUAUUUAUUGAAAUAUGAAAUGGUUAUUUAAACAUAUUUGGUGUAUUAUACUGUAUAGUGAUAUAAAUUUCUAUCAAAAAAUAUGUAUAGGUAAUAGAUUUGGUCUAGUUAUUACAAGAAAUUGUAUGAAAAAUAACUAAAUAUUUAGGCAAUCAUUGUGAGUGCAAAAAGGUCAACUGCAAUAGCACACACUAUAUAUCAUUCUUAAAUGGCUCAUAGAAACUUCUAGUAUUGUGAGUUUGAAUGCUCAAUAUGGUAAUUUGGGAAUGCUUAAUCAUUUAAGGUCAAUAGUUUAUCUCUGCUGACUGUAUCUCUUAAAAUUCAUUUCUAGAAGGGAGGGGGUAGGGUUACAAAAUCUGACAUAGUUUCAGAUUAAACCUCAUUUGGUAUAUUUUUUUCUAUUCAAUAUUUUAGAUACUACUUGACUUAUUGUAAAAAUGAAAUAAAAUCAGAAAUUUUA